UACGGGGGGAGCAAGCGUUGUCCGGAUUCAUUGGGCGUAAAGAGCGUGUAGGCGGCCAGGUAGGUCGGUUGUGAAAACUGGAGGCUCAACCUUCAGACGUCGACCGAAACCAUCUGGCUAGAGUCCGGGAGAGGAGAGUGGAAUUCCUGGUGUAGCGGUGAAAUGCGCAGAUAUCAGGAAGAACACCCGUGGCGAAAGCGGCUCUCUGGAACGGUACUGACGCUGAGACGCGAAAGCUAGGGGAGCAAACAGG
rnacentral:rRNA from 1 species